GUGGGGAAUUUUGGACAAUGGGCGCAAGCCUGAUCCAGCAAUGCCGCGUGCAGGAAGAAGGCCUUCGGGUUGUAAACUGCUUUUGUCAGGGAAGAAAUCUUCUGGGCUAAUACCCCGGGAGGAUGACGGUACCUGAAGAAUAAGCACCGGCUAACUACGUGCCAGCAGCCGCGGUAAUACGUAGGGUGCGAGCGUUAAUCGGAAUUACUGGGCGUAAAGCGUGCGCAGGCGGUUAUGUAAGACAGAUGUGAAAUCCCCGGGCUCAACCUGGGAACUGCAUUUGUGACUGCAUGACUGGAGUGCGGCAGAGGGGGAUGGAAUUCCGCGUGUAGCAGUGAAAUGCGUAGAUAUGCGGAGGAACACCGAUGGCGAAGGCAAUCCCCUGGGCCUGCACUGACGCUCAUGCACGAAAGCGUGGGGAGCAAACAGGAUUAGAAACCCCGGUAGUCC
rnacentral:rRNA from 1 species